rnacentral:rRNA from 1 species
CCCAGACUCCUACGGGAGGCAGCAGUGGGGGAUAUUGCACAAUGGGGGGAACCCUGAUGCAGCGACGCCGCGUGGGUGAAGGAGCGUUUCGGCGCGUAAAGCCCUAUCGGCAGGGAAGAAGGAGGACGGUACCUGACUAAGAAGCCCCGGCUAACUACGUGCCAGCAGCCGCGGUAAUACGUAGGGGGCAAGCGUUAUCCGGAUUUACUGGGUGUAAAGGGGGCGCAGACGGCAGCGCAAGCCAGGAGUGAAAGCCCGGGGCCCAACCCCGGGACUGCUCUUGGGACUGCGCGGCUGGAGUGCAGGAGGGGCAGGCGGAAUUCCUGGUGUAGCGGUGAAAUGCGUAGAUAUCAGGAGGAACACCGGUGGCGAAGGCGGCCUGCUGGACUGCGACUGACGUUGAGGCCCGAAAGCGUGGGGAGCAAACAGGAUUAGAUACCCGCGUA